GUUGGAAUGUCCUUCUUCCUUGAAGUCUUCUGGCUGCAUCGCUCCAAAUAUCUCACAGGCCUCUGUGUGACCACUACAACAGAAGACCAACAGCAGCAGGACCAGAGGACCAAUCAGAGUUCAGACCAGGACCAGAGG